AAACAUCUGUGUCAAUAGCUGCUGUGGUAUUGCUUUCUAGAAGACCUCUUCACCAACAGUGAUUGCAGCACGAGUGCUCAGUGGGAUGGAGAAGCCUGCGAAGCAGCCACAGGCCCUUUACAGACUGUGUCGAGGCCAGUCGAGGAUCUGCGGCUGUAUCAUCAGUUGCUAGAUACGUUUGAAUCUCUGUCGAUCACGUUCGCAGUCAGCUCUAAUCAUUUCCUCCGGAAAGUUCUCCAUGGCUGACUGAUUCCAAGCACACUUGGCUGUCUGGUGACGUGGUGGUAUCCUCCCAAGAAGACUCCCCGCAGAUCACACGUGCUGACAACAUCAAACAGGGCCUGUGAAACCACAGGACCCCCGGCUGCUGUUCACAGUCCAGGCAACAGGCCCUGCUUCCCCCAGAUGCUGCGGGUCUGGCCGCGCUCCAGGCGCCAGCAGGGUGGGGAGCUGUCACCCGGGCCUGGCCUGUGAGCCGCGCCGCAGAGUCUUCAAGCCGA